GGAUGCAGAGAAAAGCUCAAACCAAAUUUAUUCAGCCCACUGAAUGCUGCAUCUGCAUAGCAUAGCUUGUACAUAACCAAUCAAUCAUUUAUUACAGUAUGUCAAGUAAAGGGUGUGACUUCUCAGAAAUGUUCAUCUGUUUCCCAGAACUGCCUGUUGGGCUGUUGUUGAGCGGCUGGUAGCACCCUUCACCCAUUAUCCCCCACGUUGUUCCACCUCCGCUUCUGGGAGGAACCAGGGGCCACAGAGCAGACUCCCCCAUCUCAUCCCACCAACUCUGUCAGUCCACCAGGCCCCACAAUGCAGCCUCCACACCACUGCAGUAACAGCCACAUCUUCCCAUCACAAAGCUUCAGUACUAUCUCAAUGUGUUGAAGUACCAUCCAGGAUCCUGUGGCAACGUCAAUGUGAAACAGCAUUGACCCGUGAUCACCACCAACCAGGGCUCCACAGCGGUAUCCUUCGAUGUCCAGGCUUCGCUCAAGAUCAACUAAAGGAGAUUUGGAAGGAUCCCAGUGAGCAAAAUUGACAUUUUUUGUUGUUGUAUAUAUGUAUUUUCAACGUCUUUUGAUCAUAGGGAUGGCCUCCCCAGAGAGCACACCAGGCAGCAAACAGCACUUUGAUGUGAUUGGCUGGUCAGCAGGAAGUAUUAUCUGGCUAAACAGAAGGGAUGAUGGAUCUGACAGAGAACAUUUUUUUAUGGAAU